UGCAAGUCGAACGAGAUCUUCGGAUCGAGUGGCGCACGGGUGAGUAACAUGUGGGAAUCUACCUAGAGGUUCGGAAUAACUGCGGGAAACUGUAGCUAAUACCGGAUGUGUCCGUAAGGAGAAAGAUUUAUUGCCUUUAGAUGAGCCCGCACUAGAUUAGUUUGUUGGUAGGGUAAAAGCCUACCAAGACUUCGAUCUAUAGCUGAUUUGAGAGGAUGAUCAGCCACACUGGGACUGAGACACGGCCCAGACUCCUACGGGAGGCAGCAGUCGGGAAUAUUGGACAAUGGGGGAAACCCUGAUCCAGCAAUGCCGCGUGAGUGAAGAAGGCCUUCGGGUUGUAAAACUCUUUCAGCAGUGAAGAUAAUGACGGUAACUGAAGAAGAAGCUCCGGCUAACUCCGUGCCAGCAGCCGCGGUAAUACGGAGGGGGCUAGCGUAGUUCGGAAUUACUGGGCUUAAAGAGCUCGUAGGUGGUUAGAAAAGUUGGUGGUGAAAUCCCAAGGCUUAACCUUGGAACUGCCACCAAAACUUUUUAACUAGAGUAUGAUAGAGGUAAGCGGAAUUUCUAGUGUAGAGGUGAAAUUCGUAGAUAUUAGAAAGAACACCAAUUGCGAAGGCAGUUUACUGGAUCAUUACUGACACUGAGGAGCGAAAGCAUGGGUAGCGAAGAGGAUUAGAUACCCUCGUA
rnacentral:rRNA from 1 species